rnacentral:lncRNA from 1 species
UGCCUCCUGUUCCGCCGACUGUUUCUCCAGUGGUUUCUGGGCCCUCUGAUUCUAAUGUGACUGCGUUAGAGGCUGAGCGCGCGCGAUUUAUAAAGGUACUAGAGGCGUUUAUGCGGUUUAAUCCGCCUAUGUUUGAUGGAAAAGAAGUAGAUCCGUGGGUAGUGGAGACAUGGCUUACAGCGAUGGAGGCACUAUUUGAGGACAUUUACACCUUGGAAAGGGAUAAGGUCCCUUUGGCGGCACACUGCUUUGAGAAAGAUGCAUAGAUUUGGUGGCAGAAGGCUAAGAAGAAGCGGGCAUUAAAUCUAUCACCGCUCACUUGGGAGGAGUUUCGAGAGAUGUUAUUUACAGAGUACUUUCCCGACAGUGAUAAAAGGAAAAUGAAGGAAGACUUCCGUAAGUUGAGACAGGGAAACCGUUCGGUACGGGAGUACGAACGGGAAUUUACUCAUUUGGUGAACUGUGUGCCUGGGAUGGUUCAUACGGAUCGAGAUCGAGCGGAGUGUUUUGAGCGGGGGUUGCGACCGGACAUAUUCAGGACAGUCAAUGCUCUAAAGUUAAAAACUUUUGAGGAAGUUCUAGAUCGAGCUCUUUGGGUUGAGCGCGGGAAUGCGAUUGCGCGUGAUGAACGCGAAUCGUUUGAAAGGGAACGAGAAAGAGAAAAAGAAAAAAAGAGGACCACUAGUGGUGCCGGGGGACAGUCGAGCUCCAAACGGCCCCCUCGGCAUCCACGUUCUCAGUCGGGGUAUCAGGGACCCCCGAGAUGUGUGAUAUGCGGCGGAAAUCAUCGACCGAUGGCUUGUCCACAGCGGGAAGGUAAAUGUUUCAAGUGUGGUCAGCCGGGACAUAUGAUUCGUGAUUGCCCGAGGGGAGCAUCACCUGCACAGUCCACAGCUUCAGUCCAGUCACCCUCCAGACAGCGUUCUGGUCUACCGCCUGCUAUGUCAGCUGGACGUACUUUUGUGCCGCGUCAGUACGAGCCAACUCGAUCUGCACCGAGUACCCGUAUGGACACACCUCGAUCUGCACCGAGUGGUCGUGUAUUUGCAGCCCAGGUAGAGGAGCCGGCCGUAGUUGAGGACGUCGUGGCAGGUAUUGUUUUACUUUAUGGCACUAGAUCUCGUGCAUUAUUUGACACAGGUGCAUCGCAUUCAUUCAUCAGUAGCUCAUUUGCUAAGACGCAUGACAUUGAGAUUUCGGAUAGUGCUGAUGCCUGGUGGGUAUAUGCCCCUGAGCACACAUUUAGUGUCCACGAAGUGUGUGCGGCAUGUCCAGUACAGAUUGGUGAUUGGAUUAUGCCAGCAGAUCUGUUAGUGUUAAGCCGCAUGAAAGGCUUUGAUGUGAUCCUUGGAAUGGAUUGGCUUGCAAAGUACUAUGCCACGAUUAAUUGUGAAAGUAAAAUUAUUACUUUUCGUGAACCCGGGCAAAAAGAAGUUGUAUAUCGAGCGUGCAAGAGUUCGCUCUUUGCACUGACUGUAUCGUCGACGAGAGCAAGAAAGUUGAUUAGUAGUGGAUGUGCGGCUUAUUUGGCGACUGUAGUGGAG